CCUUUCCUCCCUUCCCUUCACAGGUUGCCCCAUAGUGACCCUGGAGACUCCCGCCUGCCCCCAGUGAAGGAAUUGGUUACUCUCCCAGAGCCCUCCCGGGCAUCGCCCCCUUCCUCACUUCCUCCUCUUCCUGCCCCCAGCCUCUACCCCUCCAGCCUCCUGUGGCUUCACAGGCAAGUGCCGCAUCCCAGGAAGAAGGAGUUGGAGCUCCGUGAUGCCAUUCAAAAACAGAUGAGAUGGGGACAGAUUUAACCCAAAGGACAUAGUUCAACUCCUGGUCUUGACAGAGGAGAAGCCCUCAAAGAUGGAGUCUCACUCUGUUGCCAGGCUAGAAUACAAUGGCACGAACUUGGCUCACUGCAACCUCCGCCUCCUGGGUUCAAGAGAUUCUCCUGCCUCAGCGUCCUGAGUUGCUGGGACUACGGGCACACACCAUCAUGCCCAGCUAAUUUUUGUAUUUUUAGUAGAGACAGGGUUUCACCAUGUUGACCAGGAUGGUCUCGAUCUCUUGACCUCGUGAUCUGCCCACGUCGGCCUCCCAAAGUCCUGGGAUUACAGGCAUGAG
rnacentral:lncRNA from 10 species